GGGGGCGAAAUGGUUUCGACGGGGGAAUUGGUGCCGGGAGGAGCGAGCCGGGGUUCCACUUGCCCGUAAAACGGUGGAAAAACAAUAACUGCCAACAACGAAUACGCUCUAGCGGCUUAAAGCCGCUCAUCCUGCCCGCCUUCGUCCGCGGGGUGGAACAGGGUGUAACCACAGCGGACUGGUCUGGCGGCCCUCACCCGGAAGCCACCGGAGACCUCACACGGGUCGGCGGUACCGGAGCCUGGCGGUGGGCGCCGGGAUCGCGGGAUUAAAGCACUGCCUGCGCUCGGAGAGUCUCCCGGGGUCAUUCUUUCGGACGGUGGGUUCGACUCCCCCCGCCUCCACCA
rnacentral:tmRNA from 1 species